rnacentral:rRNA from 1 species
GAUGAACGCUGGCGGCGUGCCUAAUACAUGCAAGUCGAGCGAACAGACGAGGAGCUUGCUCCUUUGACGUUAGCGGCGGACGGGUGAGUAACACGUGGAUAACCUACCUAUAAGACUGGGAUAACUUCGGGAAACCGGAGCUAAUACCGGAUAACAUGUUGAACCGCAUGGUUCAACAGUGAAAGACGGUCUUGCUGUCACUUAUAGAUGGAUCCGCGCCGCAUUAGCUAGUUGGUAAGGUAACGGCUUACCAAGGCAACGAUGCGUAGCCGACCUGAGAGGGUGAUCGGCCACACUGGAACUGAGACACGGUCCAGACUCCUACGGGAGGCAGCAGUAGGGAAUCUUCCGCAAUGGGCGAAAGCCUGACGGAGCAACGCCGCGUGAGUGAAGAAGGUCUUCGGAUCGUAAAACUCUGUUAUUAGGGAAGAACAAAUGUGUAAGUAACUAUGCACGUCUUGACGGUACCUAAUCAGAGAGCCACGGCUAACUACGUG